rnacentral:rRNA from 1 species
GUAAUUUUAUUUAGUUAAAGAAUUUCAUUUUAGUACCUUUUGUAUUAGGGUUAGUUAAUUUUUUUAGUUAACUUAGUUCUCGAAAUCAAGAGUGUUAAAUAUAUUAGUUUAAGUGUUAAAUAAUUAUAUUUAUAUAUUUAGUAGAGAAAUUUUUUCGUUCUUUAAGAUAGCUAGUUAUUUUGGAGUUAUAGGGUAAUUGGGUUUAGCUUUUUAUUCAUUUAUAUUUUAUAUGGUUAUUGUAGAUUAGGCUUAAGAUUAGCUAUAUUUAUAGUUUGUUUUAAAUAUUUUAUUAUGUAAAUUUUAGUGCAUUAGAUAUAUAUUCUUUAAUUAUAUUCAAUUAUUUUUUGUAAGAUAUAAUGAUUAAAUUAGUAAUUUUUUUUACUGCAAGAUAUAACUUGUCUUUUAUAGAAUAGUUUAACAAAAACAUUUCUUUUUUUUAAAAAGUAGGGCCUGCCCAGUGUCUUUUAAACGGCUGCGGUAUUUUGACUGUGCUAAGGUAGCAUAAUAAUUUGUUUUUUAAUUGUAAACUGGUAUGAAAGGUUUUAUUUAUAAUAGUUAUUAAUUUUAGGGUAAAUAAUUUAUAUUUGUAGUAAAAAUACUGUAAUUUGUUAAAGUGACGAUAAGACCCUACAAGCUUUAUUUUUAUUGGUUAGUAUUUAUAAGAAUUAAUUUAUUUUUAGCUUUAUUUAUUUUACUGGGGCAGUAAUAUUAUGUAAAUUAAUAUAGUUGUUGUACAUUUGUUAGUGUGUUUAAAGGCUUUAAAAUAAGAAUGACAAGAGUAAGUUACUGUAGGGAUAACAGCGCAAUGGUUUUGGAGAGGCCUUAUCGAUAAGACUGAUUGCGACCUCGAUGUUGAAUUAAAAUUUCUUUUUGUUGUAGCAGAUAAAUUAGAGGGUUUGUUCAACCUUUAAAAUUUUACAUGAUUUGAGUUCAAAUCGGUUUAAGCCAGAUUGGUUUCUAUCUUUUAGACUAUAUAAUAGGCGUAAGUACGAAAGGGACAUGCCUAUUUU